rnacentral:ncRNA from 1 species
ACAAGUAAAAGGUCAUGCUGUUUUAUUUUGUUUGCUUAAAGAAAGAUCUUCCUAGGCUGAAAGAAGAUUAGAAACAAUAAAAUUAGUGCUCCCUAUUUAUUAACUUAUAGUAGAAAUACUAUCGCUUCUCGCGUUAUCGAGACUUAAGAGGUAAUGAAUUCAGCCAGAAGAAUCAUUGCAAACAAGGUGGUACCGCGAUUUUUCGUCCUUGUA